AGGAGGGCCAGGGGCGGACGGCUCAGUAACACGUGGGUAAUCUACCCUCGGGUCGGGCAUAACCCCGGGAAACUGGGGCUAAUACCCGAUAGGUGGAGAGGUCUGGAAGGAUCCUCCGCCGAAAGCUCCGGCGCCCGAGGAUGAGCCUGCGACCGAUUAGGUAGUUGGCGGUGUAACGGACCACCAAGCCUGUGAUCGGUACGGGCAGUGGGAGCUGUAGCCCGGAGAUGGGGGCUGAGACACGGCCCCAGGCCCUACGGGGCGCAGCAGGCGCGAAAACUCCGCAAUGCUCGCAAGAGCGACGGGGGGACCCCAAGUGCCCCUGCACUGCAGGGGCUUUUGCGGAGUGUAAACAGCUCCGCGAAUAAGGGCUGGGCAAGACCGGUGCCAGCCGCCGCGGUAACACCGGCAGCUCAAGUGGUGGCCACUAUUAUCGGGCCUAAAGCGUCCGUAGCCUGCUCGGUAAGUCCUUGGGAAAAUCCGCUCGUUCCACGAACGGGACCCUGAGGAUACUGCCGAACUUGGGAACGAGAGAAGUCGGAAGUACUCCUGGGGUAGCCGGUGAAAUGCUGUAAUCCUGGGGGGGACUACCAGUGGCGAAGGCGUCCGACUAGAGCGGGUCCGACGGUGAGGGACGAAGGCCAGGGGAGCGAACGGGGCAUUAGAUACCCCGGU
rnacentral:rRNA from 1 species